UUUCUUUGCUGGCGACCGGCGCACGGGUGAGUAACACGUAUCCAACCUGCCCUUUACUCGAGGAUAGCCUUUCGAAAGAAAGAUUAAUACCCGAUAGCAUAAUGAUUCCGCAUGGUUUCAUUAUUAAAGGAUUCCGGUAAAGGAUGGGGAUGCGUUCCAUUAGGUUGUUGGUGAGGUAACGGCCCACCAAGCCUUCGAUGGAUAGGGGUUCUGAGAGGAAGGUCCCCCACAUUGGAACUGAGACACGGUCCAA
rnacentral:rRNA from 1 species